GUUCGACAGCAACGAGGAGCAGGUCAGAGCUUGAAACCCCCCCGGGAGCGGUGUUGUUCUACAUCUAAUGCUCCAUUGGGGUCCAUUUUAAGAUCAUAAAGAGGGAUGGAGGCGGCCAAGCGCCCGGUCAGAAGGGCUAAACGAGGAUUACAGCGCACUAGCACAUGUUUCUGCAUCGUGGGCAAUAAUAGGCUUCAUUAGCCUGUAAUUAUCAGAAACAAUACAUGCAGACACACACACACACGAUGGAUGUUUGCCUGUGAACAUGGCAUCAGUAGACCCAUACAGACAAAGAGAAGUGGGACAGAUCAAAGGGAGGAACCACACUAUCGCCCCCUCCCAAACGGAUACCGACUGAUGAGAAAAUAUGGGGCGGUUGAGCCAAAGCCCCUUUAUUAUUGAUUAAAUGUGGGGUGAACAACCAUAGUCUGAUUCCAUUUCCAAGGUUUUGCUUUCUCAUGUACAAUAUUGCUCUUGGAAAGCAAUAUCAACGUGUAUAUAUGCUGUAUGGAUAAUGUACACAACUAAUUCUGCAUGUUGUCAGGAAUGAUCAUUUCCAAUUGGCCAAUAAAUAAAAACAUUGAUAUACUGAACUAGGUUCAAUGAAAAAACUCUUAUGACAGAGGGAUCUUUGGAGUUCAUCAUUAGUUAUUAUAUUCAUUGAUGAUUAAAGCUGUGUAUCAAAUUCAUUCACAAAUUGGAUGUUAUUAACCCCAUGUUGACUGCCCUGAUUGUCAGUUGCUCUGGAUAAGAGGGACUUAAAUGUAAAAUGGAAACAUAUUAAAGA